rnacentral:rRNA from 1 species
GACAGAGGGUGCAAACGUUGUUCGGAAUUACUGGGCGUAAAGCGCGUGUAGGCUGCUCGGAAAGUCGGAUGUGAAAGCCCUGGGCUCAACCUAGGAAGUGCACUCGAAACUUCCGAGCUGGAGUGCUGGAGAGGAAGGCGGAAUUCUCGGUGUAGAGGUGAAAUUCGUAGAUAUCGAGAGGAACACCGGUGGCGAAGGCGGCCUUCUGGACAGCCACUGACGCUGAGACGCGAAAGCGUGGGGAGCAAACAGG